CUACGUGCCAGCAGCCGCGGUAAUACGUAUGUCACAAGCGUUAUCCGGAUUUAUUGGGCGUAAAGCGCGUCUAGGUGGUUAUGUAAGUCUGAUGUGAAAAUGCAGGGCUCAACUCUGUAUUGCGUUGGAAACUGUGUAACUAGGGUACUGGAGAGGUAAGCGGAACUACAAGUGUAGAGGUGAAAUUCGUAGAUAUUUGUAGGAAUGCCGAUGGGGAAGCCAGCUUACUGGACAGAUACUGACGCUGAAGCGCGAAAGCGUGGGUAGCAAACAGGAUUAGAUACCCUGGUAGUCCACGCCGUAAACGAUGAUUACUAGGUGUUGGGGGUCGAACCUCAGCGCCCAAGCAAACGCGAUAAGUAAUCCGCCUGGGGAGUACGUACGCAAGUAUGAAACUCAAAGGAAUUGACGGGGACCCGCMCAAGCGGUGGAGCAUGUGGUUUAAUUCGACGCAACGCGAGGAACCUUACCAGCGUUUGACAUC
rnacentral:rRNA from 1 species